rnacentral:rRNA from 1 species
AGCGAACGUUAGCGGCGCGCCUAACACAUGCAAGUCGCACGAGAAAGGGAGCAAUCCCCGGUACAGUGGCGCACGGGUGAGUAACACGUAGAUGACCUUCCCUGGAGUGGUGGAUAACCUGCCGAAAGGCGGGCUAAUACAGCAUGGGACCACAUGGUUUUGACCGAGUGGUGAAAGCGGGCCUCUGUUCACAAGCUCGCGCUCUGGGAUGGGUCUGCGUCCCAUCAGCUAGUUGGUGAGGUAAUGGCUCACCAAGGCAUCGACGGGUAGCUGGUCUGAGAGGAUGACCAGCCACACUGGAACUGAGACACGGUCCAGACUCCUACGGGAGGCAGCAGUGGGGAAUAUUGCGCAAUGGGGGAAACCCUGACGCAGCCACGCCGCGUGAGUGAUGAAGGCCUUCGGUUGUAAGUACUCUGUCGGGAGGGACGGAAGGGAGGACAA